CCUAGUUCACUUAAACUAAUGCUCUGAUACCAACUGUGACAUCCCCAUUUUAACGGCCAGAAAAGACCGAUUUGUUUAUGCUUAUUUAAAAAUCGGAGUAUCCUUUUUGAAGAAUAAUAUUGCGGAAUUUGUUCCCAGAAAACAUGAUAAUGAUAUUAUCAAAGCAUUUCCGAAGAAAUGUAUUUUAUUUAUAUUAGAAUAUUGGGGGAUGUCAUCGUCAAUAUAGAAACAUAAGCAUAACGAAAUAUUACAAGCCUUACAGUAAUUAAACUAGUGGCUUUAAUACUUUUAGAAUCUUUCAGCUAAAUGUAUCUUUAAUAUCGCUACCUGUGAUACAAUAAACUGAGUGGGUCAGGUUGGGAAACCUGAUGAGUACAUAGGGUUUUCAACCCACAAUAAUAUAAUUAUUAUGUUUAAUCAUCAAAUAAUUAACCCAAUUUCCAUCCUCAUUAUCUUCUUUAUUCUUAAGGAUCUACCUUAAGAAUCAUCUAUACUUCAUUUAUUUAUUCCUAAGGAAUAGACACAAAGUCCAUCGCUGCCAAGAUUUAUCUAAUAGGAACUAAGUCCAUAACUGCCGAUGUUAUUUAUUAGGCACUAAGUCCAUAGAUGUCAAUGUUCAUUUAUAUGGCACUAAGUCCAUAGAUUCUAGGGUUUUUAGAGUACAUCUGGUGAACACGUAGUUCAAAAACACAUACAGGUUGCAAGCAUGCUAGCGUUCCACUGGAUUGUCUAGAAUCGUCCGUGGUUGUCAUCUAUACUUUGCUAGAUGACUGGAUCAACUUUAAAGUCAAAGCUUCUCAUCAUCCUUCACCCCUCAACAUCUAUAUCAUCUUUCAUAUCUCAUCAUCCAUAUAAUCUUUCAUCUACCCAUAUUUACCGACUAUAUUUAUAUGUAUAAAAAUACAUAUACAAUUUAAAUCAAGUAAAAUAUGUAUAAAUCGUUCAUCUAGCAUACAUAUCAGGAACACGGCUAAUAAGAACAUAUAGCAUGUAUUAAUAUUAAAUACUCCAUACCUAGAUGAAAGUAACUAUGCACUAACUUGUUAAAGUGACGACUCAAAAUUUGGACAACGUUUCGCUUCUAGAAACUGUCUUUUCCUUUGGCGUAACCCAAUAUCAUUAUCACUAAUUUUUAGUCUAAUAUUUAUUGCGACUAAUUAUUAGCUUAGAUUCAUCAUUAAUUCAAAGUCUACUUCAAGAUCUAGCCUAGACAUAAUCCCCGUAAGUAGAUCAAUAAAUAUAACGACUUGGAAUCACUGAUAAAUCUUGUUUAUAGCUUCAUAAUAACGAUAAUGAACUUAACAUAAGUUAUACUUAAAGUAAGGUAAGCAUAACUCAACUUACAGGUGGUUUAGCGAGAAACCGGACCCUACGCGGGCAGAACUUCUAAGCCAAAUGCUCUACUUCUCGGGGCUUUCUGGCACUUCGGGGCUUUGCUACUAACACCUACAAAUUGCUAGAGAAAGGCAUUGAGACCUUAGGGUGUUGGGAGAGAGUUGGGUAGAAAGGUGUGAAGAAAAGAGUGAUUUUCGAGCUCUAUUUAUAGCUACCACCAACCGAGUACGUGGGGCAUACUCAAAGGGUAUGUAGGGCGUACUAUAGUAUGCUAGGCGUACUCAUGCCACGUGUCACAAUCUGGAGGCAAGCCAUGGGGAAGAAGGUGUGGUGCUAGAUCGAGUCACAUGUCGCCUUCUGGUUAAUCCAAAAAUUAAUUAUCUUGUAAAAUUCAUAACUUUUGCAUAUGAGAUUCGUUUUUGACGUUAUUUAUAUCCACAUGUAGCUAUCGACGGGAUCUACAACUUUCGUUUAUACUCCGUAGGCUACUUGUAACAACCAUAACAUUCAAACCAAUUUAAAACUUUUUAAAACAUUUCAAAACCAUUAAACAUUACAAAAUUUGUUUUCAAAAUAGUAUAAUAUCAGAGUAUCGCAGAAACAAGGUCAUAAACAUGAGGAGCUGUAUGAUCACACCUUUGCCUUCCCGCGAGCAUAUGAGGUACCUGAAACCAAAACUGAAGUUGUAAGCCUAAAGCUUAGUGAGUUCCCCCAAAAUACCCAUACACACAACAAUAUACAUACAAUCACGAACAACACGCUAUGGGUCCAGUCAACAAUCUGGUUGGAAUACCCCAGGCCCUCAACCAUCUGGUUGGAAUGCCGACAUACUAUGGGUCUAAUCAUCCUCGGGAUGGAAUACCCAAGGCCCACAACGAAUAGGUUGAAAUGCCCACAUACUACGAGUCCAAUCAUCAUUGGGAUGAAAUACUCACGACCCACAACCAUCGGGUUUGAAUGCCCACGUCUAUUGGCUUUCGCAAAAAGCAUAUAAGCCUCAACCACCAAUCAAACAUGUGCAUAUAUAUAUAUAUAUAUAUAUAUAUAUAUAUAUAUAUAUAUAUAUAGAGAGAGAGANAUAUAACAGUCUAUAGACAGACAAACCGAUCUAACAGAUCAUAGCAACAUAUAACAUCCUAUUUACCAGUAUACUGAUCUAACGGAUCAUAACAACAUAUAACAUCAUAUCUACCAAGAUACUGAUCUAACGAACCAUAACAACAUAUAACAUCCUAUCUACUAGGAUACUGAUCUAACGGAUCAUACAAUACUCGGCAUAUAACAUAUUAGGAUAACAAUCCAAAAGGGUCUGCCUUUGUGCCUUAGACCCUUGAGUAUAGUGAGGAAACUCACCUCUUAACUGUAGAAUCAAAGUGAUAAUCUCAAACUCUCGAACCACGACCACGAACUCCAUCACCUAUAUUUACCAUAAGACCAUUUCCAUAAAUUUCCAAUUUACCAAAAUACCCCAGAAGUCAACUAGUCAACCCUUGGUCAAAGUCCAAGUCAAUGGUCAAGGUCAACAGUCCAUGUUGACCCGACUCGUUGAGUGCAGUUCACCGACUCGUUGAGUCCUUCCUGAACUCGAGAAGUCGUGAAAUCCCCUGUUGACUCGUCGAGUUUCCCUACAACUCGUCGAGUUCAUGCAUGUCCAAAUGUCGGGAAAACCCUAGCUGACUCGUCGAGUCAUCCUACUGACUCCCCGAGUCCAUGCAGAAAUCCUUGCACGGCAAUCUUCAUCGGACUCGCCGAGUUGGCCAUGAAACUCGUCGAGUCCCUUCAGUCCUUUCUCCAUCCAGACGAUUUUUAAGCCACUUUAAAAUUCCAUAAUGCAGAUCCAAGCUCCUAAGGCAUACUUCUUAAGUAAAGUUGCAAACUUUACGUAGAUGCAAGGUGAUAAUGGCCCAAAUCAAGCUAAAGAAAGGUUCUAAGGGAUGAAGAAGGUAUUAACUCACUAAAGGCUGAAACUUUAUGAUCUUGCAGACCAAGAUAAGCCUAGAUUUGAAGUUGCAACUUCAGAUCACGCCUCAUACCCAAAAUAAUAUAUCAACAUGGAUAAAGUGGCCCUAAUCUCAUACAUGCAUAAAUCUAGAUAGAAGAAGGUCAAGGUAACAACUUGUUACCUCAAAAACGAUGCUAAGAUGAAGUAGGACUCAGAUCUACAACCUUCCUCUUGUUCCAAGCUUGAGUACUUCAAGAUCUUCCUUCUAUAAUCCACCACAAGGCUUAAUAUCACACAACAAGAGAGAAAAACAACGAUUUAGUGUUUCUGGACUCACAAGGGGCUGUAAGGGAGGCUAAGUGAGGCUAAUGACCCUUUAAAUAGGGUGCAAAACCCCGGAAUUUAGGGUUUCAUUCUCCAGCUCCAACUCCAACUCCAACUCGUCGAGUUAUGCCUUCGACUCGGCGAGUUGGUCACUUAAACACGCGACCUAAAAGGUUCCAACUCAACGAGUCAGGGCAUCCAACUCGUCGAGUAGACCUUUCAAUAUGAAAAAUAAAUUUGUAAAAUUUAUACCUGAGAGUUGGGGUGUUACUCUAAUUUUGACUUUAUUUUUAAAGUUAUAUUUUAAAUGACUUAGACAGUUAAAGUCUGUUAAAAAUUCAUAACUUUGUUGUCCGACGUCCGUUUUUGACUGUCUUUAUAUCGUUGAGCUCCUAUUAACGAGAUAUUUAAUUCUCGUUUAGAUUAUAAUAAUCAAUCGAUCUAAAAUUUGAUUUCCGAGCUAUACACUGCUACGAUGAAUCUUAGAAAAAUCAUAACUUCUUCAAAUGAAGUCAGAUUUGGACGUUCUCUAUAUGCACGCUCUCGGUUUAACGACUACUACGACUUCCGUUUAGAUUGCCAAAGAUAAAAAGUAUGUUUUCAAAAAUCUACUUUUUACGAUACGCAGAGCUGUGCCGGUUUAAUCGCGAAACUUUGACAGAUCAUAACUUUUUCGUUAUAAGUCGGAUUUUAGUGUUCUUUAUAUGUACGAAAUCAUAUACUAUAACUUUGGUUAAGAUUAUUUAUCCUAAAUAAUCUUCUAUAAAAAAGUUAUUUUUAACACUUAUUAUCUUUAAAUUGACCAACCCUAAUCUGCGGGCAUUACACAAUCCCCAAUCAGGAUCAAAGAGCAUAUAACAAGCCAGAGGUUUCAUAAGUUGCAACGAUUUGGAUAAAUGGAGAAGAUAAUGGGGAUUAUGGUACUAGAAGUAUUGAGGUGAAAACACAUAACAAUGAAUCUAAGAGUGUUCAAUACUAUUUUGGUUGUUAUUAACCUUUACAAUACCUUUUGAUGUUCCUAUUCGGAGAGCUUGGUUAGCAUCAAGGUAUUAUUAAAAAGAGUGAAACUGACAAGAACAAAAAAGGGAGAAUUAUUUUCGUUGCUGAGAAGCUUAUUUCCCCACAGAGUUUUGUAAAUGCAGAAGAUUUACUGGCCAUGGAAGAAAAUAGUAAGAUAUAUUUUCCUUAGCUACAUUAGUUGUAUUUAACAUAAUUGUAAAUUAUUUCUUUUUCUUUUUGCAGUAUUGGGAAAGAAAUCUCAUAACCCAAAAUUCAUUUCAGUUAGAGAAUAAUACGCUUACAAAUUACAAAUACGUCUCGAUGAUAAGUCUUGCUUGUUACAUUUUGGUAGAUUAUUACAACAGUACAUAGUCGAUAAUUAUGUUAAGCUUGAAACACAAAGAUUGGGUUUUUAUAAAACACAACAACAUGAGCUCUGACAAGAAUUUCUCCAAGGAGUAGUAGAUGCCAUAGCAAGUGGUGAGACAGACGUUUCAACCAUUGGCAAACCUCAAACCUUUGAACCAAUGAUGGGUAUGGAAAAGCACAAUCCAAUCAACAUGGAGAUCCAAAUGCCAAAAGAAAAAAAGAUUGCCUCAUCCCCAACCCUCUCGCUUCCUUUACAAAAAAUAAAAGAAGAAAAUGCAGCCCAACAAAUGACAUCAGAUUCAGAAUCACGAAGGCGCAAACAACCUAAUAACCCACCUCUCGACAAUGCUAAAACUAAAGAAAUUGAGAAGGAAAUGCUUGCUAAAAACGCAAAAUGAAAUCAAAAAGAAGAAAACUCCAACCUUUUUUGCGUUUUGAAGGACACUCUUCGACAUGAAAUAUAAAGAAUGCUAGGGAAGUUACUAUAUUGGCGUUUACUCUACAUAUGAAGAAUGCUAGGGAAGUCAUCCAAAAAGACAAAAUGAAUUCGAAAAAAAAGAAACCUCCACUCUUUCUUGGCGUUUUAAAGAACACUCUUAGACAUGAAAAUAUGAACAAUGGCAGGUUACUCAAUCCACCGUCAUAGCCAAAUUUUGUAAAUAACUUCAAUGACUAUCUAUUUUGGUAUAUGUAGAUAUAUAUAUANNNNNNNNNNNNNNNNNNNNNNNNNNNNNNNNNNNNNNNNNNNNNNNNNNNNNNNNNNNNNNNNNNNNNNNNNNNNNNNNNNNNNUUUGUAAAGCACAAAAAAACAACAUUUUACUAUGCAAUGAAUGUGAAUAUGUUAAAAUACAUAUAUAUGUUAGACCCGAAUAGAAUACCCAUCUUCUUCACACAUAACGCAUCACACUGUCGUCCUUUGAGAAUUACCUAGUUUAUUUAUAUAAGAUAAUGAAAUUAAUCUAAAUUCAUCUAUUUUUAUUUUCUAGCCCGAGAACAUCCCAAAAAUAAUAAUCAUACGAUUAUAAUAAUAAUCAUAAAAUAAUGGAAUUAAUCUAAAUUCAUUUAUUAAUCUAAUAUAUUUUUAUACGUCCCAAAAAUUAAUUGUAGUAACUGUGAUUACAAGUCAAGAAUACAUCAAUACUUUAAUCAUCAAAAGAAACAUUAAAAUCAUUACUAAUACCAUAAACUACAACAAAAAAUUACAAAUAAAACAAUUGUAAAAAAUUGGUAAUUACAAUCAUUAACUAUAAAUAAGUACGUUACAAGAACUAAUAAUAAUAAUAAUAAUCAUACAAUUAACGUUGUAUUUAUAUAAAUAAAAUAUGAAUAUUGAAUGUUUCAAUAAUCUGAGUAUAUAAAACUUUUCCGGUUAUUUUUUUAAUUUAAUUUUAAUAAUAAUAGUUAUUAUUAUUAUUAUUAUUAUUAUUUUUUUUAAAUCGACAAACUAACUAAUCUAUUCCUAAAUAAACACCUAUGUCUCCACCGAGACUUGAACCCCAGACCUCUCAUAUGAGAUGGUCACUCCGUACUGCUAGGCCAUUGGCCAUUUGGUUAUUAUUUUAUUAAGUGAUUGAAUGAAUUAAAGAGUUUGAUUGAUUCAAAUGAAGAUGGAAAUCAUAAACGAGUCCCAUGCAAAAUUUGAAAUAAAAAAGGGGUACAAAAGUAAAGGAAGAGUACUCAUAAUAGUAUCCUUAAUUUAUGUUUCUACACGAGAAAAACACAAAUAGAAAUUAUUGUUCCAAUCAUUAGACAUAUUAACUGUUAAAGAGUUAUAACUUUGUGAAAAGAAACGUUUUUAGGUUUGUUCUUAUAUGCAUGUCACAUGAAUUUUAUAUGACGGUUGAUUAUAUAUUUGUUAUAUUAUUUUUCAUUCCAUAACACGUAACAAAUGUCAUAUACUAAAGCCGAUAAGCUUAAGACAAAAGUUGAAGUCAAAAAAUUGACAUGGCAGGAAAAGCAGAAAGUUGCAGACGAAGAAGAAGAAACCAUUACAGAACUCAUCAAAGAGCAUACAAGAUGGGUACGAGUGUAUUAAUUGAUAAUAUAUUUAUAUAGUAUAUACUACAAUCACUAUUUGUACGUAAUAUGUGUUUUUGGCAGACCACUAUGAUUGAACAUAUGGACAGCCAACAGAUGAAAUUGUAUCUGAAAGAAAGAUCAGAGAGUUUGAAGACUCUGAAGAUUGAAAAGCUUGAACCCAUCAAAAGGGUAAGAAAUUUUCUUAUUUUUUGUAUUAAUCAAUAUCUUUUUUGAAUAAAAUGACACCUUUUAUUUUUAAUGAAAUUCUAAGAUUUUCUAUUGCACACCAACAUAAGAUAAGUGUUAGGCUAGACGGAGUGGAUGCCAGAAAGGGGUGAGUGAAGCUUCCUUCACUCCUGCACACCACUCUGUGGGUGAGGGAAAGAACCGCGGGAAAAGAGGUGGGGGGAGGGGGUGCCGCACUCUCUUUCCUCACGCUAUUGGCUAGUUUAUUUUAUUUUAUUUUAUUUUAUUUUUUUAAAUCUUUUUUAAUAUUUAUAAAAUUAUAUACCUACUAUAAAAAUAUAAAAAAUAUAUCAAAAUUCAUGGUUUUUAAUUCCCUACAAAAUGAGUAUAAUAUAUGUAUGAAAUAUAUUAAAAAAAAAAAAAGUGAGGGAAGGACUUCCCACCAAUUCCUUGGCUUUUAGGUGAGGGAAAGGAAAGUAAAGGAAAGAGGGGUAUGGCCCACCAAAAGUGAGGGAAGCUUCCCUCCCACACCCUCCGGUCUUAUAAGGUAGCUGUUUCACUAGUUGUUGGUAUGAAAUAAGGAUUUACAUUAUAAUAGUACCAUUUAUAGUUAUAUGGCUUAUUGAAAAAAAUAUAUAUAUAAGUUAGAGUUCUUAUGAGGUUUUGAUGAUUUUGCAGGUGAAAAAGGUUCAGAAAUGCAUGAAUGCUAAGAGCAGCGGAAUCAUGUCAACAGUAUGGAAAUUCCAUAAAAAAGAGAACAAGUGAUAUGAACAAAGACAAUAAUUGGUCAACCACUUAUGUUAUAUCGAUUAACAACUUUUUUAAUGUAUUAGCCAUGUACCUUGGUGGAUUUUUAAGUUGUAUUAAAUGGUAGAAUAUCUUAUUCAGUGAAGAAAAUCACAUUCUCCAUGACUUCAUUUUGUAAUUUAUUUAAAGAGACAUGAACUCCUUGGUAAUUAGUCAUUAUGGGUUUAACUUUCAAUAAGCAUUUUGUACUAAUAUCUCGAUAACUGGGGAUAUUAGUGUGGAUUGGUGCUUAAAUGAUGAUACCUGUUACAAAUUUCACAAUAAUGAUCAAGUUAUUAUUAUGGUUUUUCUAAGUUGAAAUCUGAGAGAUGGAACAAAGCAGAAAUUACAAAAUUAUUAUUUCAACAAAAACAUGUAAGAUGUUUUGGAUUAGGUCAAAACAUAACAGAGAGAUUUUAUAGGUCAUAUCGACUUAGAAGUUAGAACUCAUUAUAUGCUGACAUGUUGAAGCGAAUUGUAAGCGUGAUAAAUAUGCUCCACAAAUACAUGAGUUUAUGUGAAUUUAAACAUGAUCACUUCAAAUUCAAGUGAUUUGCUUUUGUAAAGUGUUAAUAAUUUACGUUUUAAUAAUGUAUGAUUCUAUAUAUAUAUAUAUAUAUAUAUAUAUAUAUAGAGAGAGAGAGAGAGAGAGAGAGANUAUAUAUAUAUAUAUUAUCAAUUAUGAAUGAUAUGGUUGUUUGUAUGACAUGAUAAUAAGUAUGUUGUAGGCUUGUAGCAAUUGCAUAAAAUUUUUAAAAUAUAUAUACUAUAAAAAUGUGGCAUUACACUAGUUGAAGGUGUAGGUGUGUAGACAAAAGAUAUGUCUAGGGUCUAAAGUUGAUAAUAAAGGGAAAAGUCAAAAAUGACUUUGACCUCAUAGUACCUAACAUUAACCUGCUCUACGUAUGUAAACAAGGGAUAUGUCCAGGUUCUAAAGUGUUGUUAGAGCAUCUAGAGUUUUUUUUAUAAAUCUUUUUGGUAUCAUGUCAUUGCCAGUUUGUUAACACCUAGCUAUAAUACAAGAGUUCUUUAUACUUGACAUACUAAACAUAUUUAUAUUAUAUUAUUUUGUUUUUUAUAUUAGUUAGCUUGAUUAUAAUUGGUUGAAUAUAUUUAGAUCUUAGUAUAAUGGUUACAAAAGUUCUAUGAAGUACUUAUUAAUUAACAAACCAAAGGGCUUGUAGCCCAGCGGUAUCAUGUGGUGUCUUCCCUCUUUGAGGUCGAGGGUUCAAGUCCCGUCGUGGACAUAUGUGGAAUAGGUGUUGUUAGCUUAGAAGUAGAUUAGAUUUGCCGGUUAAAAAAAAACUUAUUAAUUAACAAGCUUUCUUGUAAAAAGUUUGAGUGAAAAAGUUUCCACUAUAGAAAUAGAGCUUUAUCAAAACGGAUUUAAAAAAAAAUCUUAUUAUGGAUUCCUCUUAAUAAAGAAAAGAAAAAUAAAAAAUAACUUUUGACAACAUGAUAGUACUUCAAGUUAUCAUAUUUUUUGUUUUUGAGUUUUAGAUUUAUGAUUUUGAAAUUUUACAAAUUUGCGAAUUUCUUUCAUAGAUUAGAUAUAACAAAUUCUUUGAUUUUUUACUCUUUACUUUUUUUUUUUUUUUUUUUAAAUGGUUUUUAAAGACUUAUUAAAAAAAAUCAAAAAUUUUAAAAAAUGAUUUCUUUGUUUAUUUUUGCAGAUAUUAUCUAUCAUUUUAGAAAAAAAAAACAAUAUCUUUUGGUGAUUUCAUGAAUGAUUUGCUAAUUUCAUGAACGAUUUGUUCAUUUCACAGAUCUUAUUUAUAAAAAUUAUUGCUAUUUUGAUGGUUAAACUAAUUUUUUUUAUUGUUAUUUAACUAUAAUAGAAAUAGAUAUGAUUAAAUAUAUCUGUCUUUUCUCAUGUAAAUUUAUACAUAAAAUUUACAUGGUUUGACUCAAAUAUAUUCUAACUAAUCAUGAUAUUUUAUUAUUAUUAUUAUUCAUUCUAAACUCAUGUAUCUUUCAAAUCCGAUCGAUUUUUGUCUCUCUCUUUUAUUAUUAUUAUUAUUAUUAUUAUUAUUAUUAUUAUUAUUAUUAUUAUUAUUAUUAUUAUUAUUAUUAUUAUUAUUAUUAUUNNNNNNNNNNNNNNNNNNNNNNNNNNNNNNNNNNNNNNNNNNNNNNNNNNNNNNNNNNNNNNNNNNNNNNNNNNNNNNNNNNNNNNNNNNNNNNNNNNNNNNNNNNNNNNNNNNNNNNNNNNNNNNNNNNNNNNNNNNNNNNNNNNNNNNNNNNNNNNNNNNNNNNNNNNNNNNNNNNNNNNNNNNNNNNNNNNNNNNNNNNNNNNNNNNNNNNNNNNNNNNNNNNNNNNNNNNNNNNNNNNNNNNNNNNNNNNNNNNNNNNNNNNNNNNNNNNNNNNNNNNNNNNNNNNNNNNNNNNNNNNNNNNNNNNNNNNNNNNNNNNNNNNNNNNNNNNNNNNNNNNNNNNNNNNNNNNNNNNNNNNNNNNNNNNNNNNNNNNNNNNNNNNNNNNNNNNNNNNNNNNNNNNNNNNNNNNNNNNNNNNNNNNNNNNNNNNNNNNNNNNNNNNNNNNNNNNNNNNNNNNNNNNNNNNNNNNNNNNNNNNNNNNNNNNNNNNNNNNNNNNNNNNNNNNNNNNNNNNNNNNNNNNNNNNNNNNNNNNNNNNNNNNNNNNNNNNNNNNNNNNNNNNNNNNNNNNNNNNNNNNNNNNNNNNNNNNNNNNNNNNNNNNNNNNNNNNNNNNNNNNNNNNNNNNNNNNNNNNNNNNNNNNNNNNNNNNNNNNNNNNNNNNNNNNNNNNNNNNNNNNNNNNNNNNNNNNNNNNNNNNNNNNNNNNNNNNNNNNNNNNNNNNNNNNNNNNNNNNNNNNNNNNNNNNNNNNNNNNNNNNNNNNNNNNNNNNNNNNNNNNNNNNNNNNNNNNNNNNNNNNNNNNNNNNNNNNNNNNNNNNNNNNNNNNNNNNNNNNNNNNNNNNNNNNNNNNNNNNNNNNNNNNNNNNNNNNNNNNNNNNNNNNNNNNNNNNNNNNNNNNNNNNNNNNNNNNNNNNNNNNNNNNNNNNNNNNNNNNNNNNNNNNNNNNNNNNNNNNNNNNNNNNNNNNNNNNNNAACUUAAAUAUAAAUUUCAGUUCCACCUAAAAAACCAAAUAAUAUUUUGUAAAUAGUUAAAAGUGAUAAAUGCAAAAACUAAAUUGUAAUAUCAGUUUAACUAAAAUAUUUCCUAAAUAUAUUUAUAUAAUCGUUAAAAAAUUUCAAAUAAGUAGCUUAAAAUAACUUAUAAUAACAAUAGUUAAAAAUAACUCUAUAUAAAUUAUUAUAUUGUUACCUUUAAAAUCAAAAAAUAAUGUUUGAUGUUUUAAAUAGUUAUAAUAUAGAAAUUAAAACAUUAAGCAAAUAAAAUUUAAAAAAAUUAGUUAAAAAUAACAUCUAUAAAUAAUAUUAAACCAUAUAUAAUAUUUAAUUUUAUUGACGUGUAACUCGCGAGUAAAAGUCAUUCAAAUGAUUGAAAUUAUUAUGUUACAAUAGAUUUAUAUAUUAUCAUAUAAUUCAAAAUAAUUAAUAUAAUAUAUCAAAUUAAUAUACGAAUUAUUAUAUCAAAUUUAACAACAACGUUAGUGUUAUAUUUUAAAAAAUAUAAAUUUGUACUGACUUCAACUAUAUAGGUGUUUCUGCGCAUUACAAUGUCAACUAAAAUAUAAAUUCCAGUUCCAUUUAAAAAAAUUAAAGAAUAUUUUGUAAAUAGUUAAAAGUGAUAAUUUGUAGUGAUAAAAGCAAAAACUAAAUUGUAAUUUCAAGUUAACUAAAAUAUUUCAUAAAUAUAUUUUUAUAAUCGUUAAAAGUUUUCAAAUAAGUAGCUUAAAAUAACUUACAAUAACAAUAGUUAAAAAUAACUCUAUAUAAAUGAUUAUAUUGUUAGCUUUAAAAUAAAAAAACAAUGUUUGAUGUUUUAAAUAAUUAUAAUGAUAAAAAUUAAAAAAUUAAGCAAAUAAAUUUUAAAAAAAUUAAUUAACAAAAAAAACAACUAUAUAUAAUAUCAAAUUAUAUAUUAUAUUUAAUUUUAUUCAUGUGUAACUCGCGGGUAGAAGUCAUUCAAACGAUUGAAAUUACAGAGUUAUAAUAAAUGUAUAUAUUAUUAUAUAAUUCAAAAUAAUCAAUAUAUUAUAUCAAUUUAGUAUAUACAAAUUAUUAUAUCAAAUUUAACAACAACGUUAUUGUUAUAUUUAAAAAAUCAUAUAUUUGUAAAGACUUCAACUAUAUAGAUGUUUCUGCGCAACGCGCGCGCGGGCAUUCGCCUAGUAGUAUUAAAAGGAUAGAUACAUAAUUGAAAAGGUUUUAUAACAGCAAAAUAUUUAUUUUUUUCUUAAAAAUAUGUAGUAUUAUAUACUUACAAAUAACGGAAAAAGUUAGUAUGAAAAUUGGUUUUAAUCCCCCUACGGCCUACGGCCUACAGCCGAGCAAGCGAAGAACAUUUCUAUUGCUUCGUUCCUAGAGACGCUAAACUCAUACGCAACACACACACGCACACAGACUUUCUGUAUUUCACUCUACGAGAACAAUAUAUAGGAGGAGAGCCGAUACUCGUAUAAAAAUAUAUUGAAACUAAAUCAAACUCCGUUCUUGAUCUAUUCCUUUUCUUUCAGUGUAAGACACAUCUUCAACUUUUAGGGUUUCAAACUUGAUCAGAAGAUUUCUCUUUCAUUAGGGUUUUGUGCGUUCAUACAUGUGUGUUCUUGAAUCUUAGUUCGAAGAUUGAGAAAAUGGUGAAUGAUUUCGAAGGCGGACGACAAGAAAAAGACAUCGUAGGUUCGUAUUUCUUGGAGUUAUGGAGAUCGAAGUCCAAGAAGGCAGCUGUUUCGUAUGCAAAAGAUGUUGAAAUGGUGAAUUUAGAUAAUGAAUGCGAAGAACUAGAAGAAGAGGAGGAGCCUGUUCCAACGGAGCUUGAUACUCUGAACAGUUCGGGUGGAUUCUCGAUUGUAUUGCCGAAUAAGCUUUCGGUUCAGUACCCGACUGUGAAUUUACAUGGCCAUGAUGUGGGUGUUGUUCAGGCCAAUUGCCCCGCCCCUGUCAAGCGUCUUCUCUAUUACUUUGAGAUUUAUGUCAAGAAUGCUGGCGCGAAAGGCCAAAUUGCAAUUGGAUUCACUACCGAGGGUUUCCAUAUGCGCAGACAGCCUGGGUAUGUAUGCGAUAACCGAUCAUUCUUGAUGCAUAUUCAUCUAAUCCAAAAUAAUUGACACUUUGUUAGUUAAUAUGCGCUAGAUACUUGUAAAUUAUGCUUGAUGCAUUAAAAUCUGUAGCCGCUAUAGUGAUGAUUCUUCAACUUCAAACCAGAGUCUUUAUUUUCAUAAGAAUUCUUAUCAUGUUGCAAAUGAGGGUAGGUCUGUAUUGCAACAUGAGGCUUUCUUCUAUUUUCAAGUGGCUUCUAUCACGUCCAUGGACUAGAAGAUGAAAUGAGAAGACAUAUGUGAUGAAAACAAGAAAAUACUUCAAUAUAAAAACCAUGACAACGCCCAAUACCUCUCUCUACCUUAUUUAUCCACUUGCUCUCACCCUUCAAUAUCAAACCUAAAAAGAAUUGAAAACAGAAACAUAAAACAUAAUGCUUAACUAUCCCUCUACCCAAACUGAUCUUGUUGCUCCUCAUACGUUAUCCUUGCUGGAAGCUACAUAUGUUGCAAUUUUUAUGCGAGUUCCAAUAUUAGUGGUUCAUGAUGGGUUCAGAUGUUUUUGCUUUCAUUAAUCUUGAUAAGAAGAUGCAAUUUGAAUUCACAUGGUAGCUCAGGAAGUUACUCAGAAAUGUAUCUUCUGCUAGUGAUGAAGCUGAUUAAUUGUACAUAUUACUAAAUGGGAACUUAUUGAUUAUUUGGUAGUGUGAGUUCCUUGCAGUAGUCUUGGGUGCCACAAAUAAGCCUACAAGAAUUUAGUUUUAGUCUAUAACAUGAACUUGGUCCUUAGAACGGGUUAAUUUGCAUAUUUUAUAUUGUUUGCUUUAGGAUAAAUUCUUUAUCAAAACCAACAAACUAGAAAAUCAAUGUUAAACUAACUGAACCCGUUUAGGAAGAGUUAUGUCAAGAACUUGGAAUAUCCUCUAAGGCCAAAUAUUCAUUGGGAAUAAUUACGGGGUAUGGAUGACAUUUGACUUGGGUAAUUUGUACCUUUUGUUUUACUAUUAACUUAAAUUAGUUGCUAUUUACCAGGAUAUCCAUUUUAUAAAGAUCGAGACUAAUGGUAGAUUUGGGGAGUGAGGGGAGAAGGAAGCAAAAUUAGAAAGAAACACAAGAAAGGACACUAGCUACUACUCACUUCUUCCCUUACAAUUUUGUUCACAUUAACAUAAGAAGCUGACUCACUUUAGAGUUUAGAGUGAGCAUCAAUUUUUGAGGAUCAUUUGUAGUGCUUAGUUUUGAAUGUUACCUGAACUUUUCAAAGGAAUAUGAACCAAAAGGCAAAAGGUUAUUGGGCUAAUCCACAGUCAACACACAUCCUCCAUGACUCAUCUUGUUUCUAAACUUCCAUUUAUCUGUGUAUUUUAGAAUCCUACUUUCUCAUUUGUUUCUGUUAGAGCAUUGUGUACUUAUUAAGGCUUUGUUGUUUGUGAUAGGUGGGAAGCAAACAGUUUUGGAUAUCAUGGGGAUGAUGGGCUGCUUUAUCGUGGACAUGGAAAAGGAGAGGCUUUUGGCCCAACUUAUUCCACUGGUGAUGUGGUUGGUGGUGGUAUCAACUAUACUUCACACGAGUUCUUCUUCACGUAACAUUCUUACUUAAAUUCUUAUUAACUGAUUGAGUUUCUUAUAUUUGCUUCUCCAAUAGUUCUUCUUUCAGACAUUUUACAGUAAAAUUUGUUUCUGAUGCCAGAAAAAAUGGUCAAGUGGUUGGAACAGUAGAGAAAGAUGUAAAAGGUCGCUUAUAUCCUACAAUUGCUGUUCAUAGUCAAUAUGAGGAGUAAGUUUGUUCUUUCUUUUCAACAUUCAAAUUUUCUUCAUACUUCAUCUAUAAUUUGGGUUUGAGCGGAUUGCCCCAACUGGCUAUCAUUUUUUUGGAGUACACGUUUCAUAUAUAUUCAUUUAAGUUUUAAAAUAAGUUUGAGCUUCUGCUACUUGAAUAGUUGAAUGUAUGGUUUGGUUAUAUGUAUUGGGAUUUCAUUGGAUGAUUUGUUUUUGUUUUAAGCUUAUUAAGAUAUUUUGCCAGUGUCCUAAUAUCCACAAAAGUUGAUGUUCUUUUUUGUAUGGUAUUAUUUUAUUGCAGGGUGAUUGUGAACUUUGGGAAAGAUCCCUUUAUUUUUGACCUCAAGGUAACAUAUCAUUUUUCAAGUUCUUUUGUUGUGUUUGGUUUUUACAGAUAGCUUUCUGCAAUGUAUUUUAUUUGUUGUUAUAUUUGGAAAAAAAAGUUAAAUGUUUAUAUAUAUUUUCUUGCAUCAUAUAUUAGAUAGUUCUUCUUAUGUGGUGCAAUAUAACAAGAUUUUGUGUUUAUAUUGGGGAACAGGCAUAUGAAGCAACUUUAAGGGCAAAACAACAGGCGGUUAUUGAAAGAAUACUUAUACCACAGGCAGCCAGUUAUGGGUAUGUUCAAAAAAUAUUGGAUUUAUUUUAAGUCUGAUCCUUAUCAAAUUUAAAUAUUGGAUUGGAAGUUUAGUGGAUAAUCAGGUUCUUAGAUAGUUUUGUAUAUCUAUAGUAUUUGUAUGAUGAUGUAAACUAAUUUGGUUAUCAGACUUAUUCGUUCCUACCUACAACAUUAUGGGUAUGAGGAGACUCUGAAUGUGUUAGAUGAGGCCAGCCAAACUUGUAUUCCUCCUAUUACUACUACUACUACUGGUGUUCAUGAUAAUGGCUUCAAUGAGUAUGGCGCGUAUGCAUUAAACCACAGAAAAAUUCUGAGAAAGGUAUGAAAUGGAUCAUAUGGUAUAUGCUUAUGAUAUGACUUCGUUUUAAUACAACAUUGAUUGAUGGUUUUUUUUUUUUAACUUUUUCUUCUUUAAAUCAUGUUCCUUUCUUGACUUGUAUUAAUAUUUUUUGAAGCUAAUCAAGGAUGGUCAAAUUGAUGAUGCAUUUGCUAAACUCCGUGAGUGGUAUCCCGAGACAGUUGAGGUAAUGAUUGCAUUAGAAACUCUCUUAUUAUAUUUUUCUGUUGCUUAAUCAUAUUCAUAUUCAUUCAUACAAGAAAAUUAAGCAUAUGGUAGAAAUGAUGAGAAAUUUUUGGGCUGUGUGCAGGAUGAUACAUCAGCCAUUUGUCUUAUGCUACAGUGUCAAAAGUUCAUUGAACUAGUUCGGGUAAAAUAAAAUUUCCAACUUUAAAGGCUUGUCUAUCUAUCUAUGUCAAUUGUCUGAAAAUCUAUUUGUUUUUUUUUUUUUUUAGGUUGGGCAUCUAGAGGAAGCUGUGGAGUAUGGAAGGAGUCAUUUUGAGAAGUUUUAUAAGUUGAAAGAGUAUGAAGAUCUUGUUAAGGUGAUUAUUCCCAUAACCUUGAUAAUAAAUUGAUAAGUGUUUGCAGGAGAGGGUAUUUAUGUCUUUUGUUGUAUAUAAAUUUUGUAGGACUGUGCGGGUUUAUUGGCGUACGAGGAUCCAAAGAAAUCAGGGGGGUUGGGAUAUCUUGUGGAGGAUUCACAGAGAGAGAACCUGGCGGAUGCAGUGAACGCAAUGAUAUUGUCAACAAAUCCAGAGGAGGCAAAUACUAAAAGAAGCUGCCUGCAUUCAUAUCUGGAGAGGCUGCUCAGACAACUCACAGCUUGUUUCUUAGAAAAGAGGCUGCUCAAUGGAAAUCAAGGGGAAGCUUUCCAUCUCCCGAGAGUGCUCCUUGCUAAGAACAAUUAACACACUUGUUUUUUCUUUUUAGAUCAAAACAGAUUCUUUCUUUCAUUCUCUCUGUCGAUAUCUGUCUGUCUGUCUGUCUGUCCGUCCUCUUGGGCCUUUCUAUUUUUUUUUUUAAAUGUUUCCGUUGUAAAACUAAACCACCCAAAUAUGUACAUUUUCUGAAUUUGUAGCUGCUAUUUUGCAUGGCAUAUUCUGCUUUUCUUCUUAAUUUGGGUUUUUUUUUUGUUAGUAUGGAUCUUUCAAGCUUAAUAAGGAAUGCUAUGUUUUAUGCAACACCAGAACAUUAAAAACAACACUCACAAGAAUGAAAACAGCCACUCAUUGUAUUUCAAGCAUACAAUCAGUUUUGAAUGUAUACUUCUUUCAAUCAUCUCACAGCCAACAUUUUUAUAAAGGAAAAUUAAUGCUGUAUUGUCUAAAAGCUUAAUAAUUACCAAAGCAUGUCAUCUUUCAAGAGUUUACAACACUAAAAAUCAUGUAAGAAAUUGUAGAUGCAUCCUUUUAUGUUAUCGCCAAAGAAAGGGUUUUAAAAAUAGCAAUCCGCUUUGGUGAAGCUACAAAUUUCAUUUGCCAAAAUCUUCAAGAAGCUGUUCCAAGUAACAACUACUUUGCUACUGAUAAGGUUGACCAAAGAUGGAACCUUUUACCCAUUUCAAUCAUGCAAGAUUCAUUCAAAUUCACCAUUUUGCAAAUGGAUGAUCCUCUAUAAACAUUACAGGCUCAUGAUUAUGUUCAUUAUUUGCAAGCUUCAACCUCUCCAAUCAUCAUCACUUUAUAGUAAGUUGCAACCAAAUCACAGGUUAAAAUAAUUUUUGAUACAUAGCCAUUUAGUUAAUUAGUUCGUCUUUGUUCAUUUAAUAACAACCACGAUAUACUCAAGAAAUUGUGCCGUAUUUUGCACGUACUCCAUAAAAUUUUUACAAUUGUCCAACAACUAACAAAUGAAAAAAAAUCAAAUUAUAAAAUUCAGUAAUGCUUACAAAUAUAUUAAAUUUAUCCAACUAUAAAUAUAUACAUGUUCAACGUGAAAUGCAUUAUCAUCAAUUGACAUGAACAUAAUGGCAAUUUAUUUUCUUUUUGGGGCACCGUAUGAUGAAAGUCUUUGGUUUGAAAGAAAUUAGUGCAUUUCAUUCCGAAUAUGUUGAUUAUCAAAGUAAAAGGUAAAGAUUCUUUUUCGGAAUUAAUGAAAGUUAAGAAUUAUGCCGUGAAUGGUGGCAUAAGUUAUUAAUAAUGUCCGUGUGUAAAGAGGCCUUUAGACAAUUGUUUCAUAGAUCCCUCUUCACUCAUAUAAAUCGUCACAUCAUGGGAGUUUGUCCAGCCAAAUAAAGUGAGGAUAUCCUUAAUUCCACAAUGCUCUUGAUGAUAUAACUUCAUUGUAGUCGUGCAAUAUGUAAUUCAGUCAUACAACAUAGGGAUAUCAUAUAUUGCAUCUUUUGUAAAUUGUAAAGAUUGAAAGAGUUGUUAACAUGAUUUACCUACAAAACACUGCAACCCACUAAGCACGUUUACAAAACCGGUGCUAGCUUAGUGAAAGCUUGAAAGAUAAAUGUAAAGCUUGAGGAAGCUUACUAUAGUAGUAGAGGUUUCUCCGUGAAGCAAAUAUAAUGGCUAAAGUCUUUGGGUUAUAUUUUGCAACUCUUUUGAUAUUUUCAUAUAUCUAAGCUUGGAUCAUUAGAACUAUAUAGGUAAUUAAGAGGUAGUGAUUUACAAGAAAUUACCUAACUAUGCUUUUGAUCCCUAAAUAUGAUUUUAGUUUAGAAAAUUACAUUUUUGGUCCCUGUAGUUUACAAUGACUUAAUUAAGCCUCUAUAAUUUUUAGUUUAUAAAUUUACUUCCUAUAUAGUUUUUAAUUUAAAAAAAAAAAAAAAAGAUUAUUUAGAGCUUUUGACCUUGUAGUUUCUAAUUUAGGAAAUUUCACUUUUGGUUAUUAUAGUUUUUAAUUAAUAAGUUAUAUAGUAAAAAAUGAGUAAAGUACAAUUUUGGUCUAUGUGGUUUGUGUUGUUAUUUAUUUUAGGUCUAAGUUUGAAAUUUUUAUGUAUAUGAUCAUCAUGCUAGGCAAAAAUUGAAUGUUUGGUUGCCUACUCAAUUAAAUCUCUCUAAAUGGCCAUUUUAGGCUCAUUGUUGUCUUUUUCUCAUUUUAGCUUCUAUUAUAUAAUUAUUUUUUAUUUGUUUUAUUAGAUAUCUCCUCUCUUUGCAUUUGUUUUUUUAAUUAUUUUACGUGUAUAUAUCUUAAAAUAUAUGAAUUACGAAAGUAAUUUUACAUAUGAACAUCUUAUAUUAGCUUAUUCGGUCGGAAAUAUAGGAUUAAUACACCAGGCACAACACAUGGGCCACCUCCGCUAGUUUGUAUUUUAUCCGGACUCGCAUGCAUGAAUGGAUGCAAUCAAGGAUGACAACAAUUUUUAUCAAAAAGAGAAAAAGAAAAAAAAAAACUUAUAUAAAUUUGUAUAUUCCAUUGUUUGUAUACGUUCGAUCUUAUUUAUUUAACUAUAAUUUGUGAGCUAGUAAUUUUGUGCAAUAGUCAAACUUACUAAAUUUGAAAACUUUUAUGCUUUUAUCUAAUUAAACCAAACCAAUGAAAAUAACUUUUUUUUUUCUAUAAUAAAUCUUCCGAUUCUAAUAAUUUCAAUAAAUGAAUAUGUCUAUUCUCUUUUUACUAUAUGUCAUUUAUUAGGUCUCCUAAUUAAUAUCAUAUCACUAGUCAAUCUAUUAUUGAUUCUUCAUUUUAAAUUUUAAAAUUUAAUUUUCCAACUCUAAUUACAUUAAAUUAAUAACAUUAAAUUAAAAUAAAAUUAAUACAUAUUAGUAUAUUAUAAUAUAUGUAUUUAUAUAAAUCAACAAUUAUAAUUUAUAUAAUUAGAAAAAUAUCCUUUAACUAAUAAUAUUUAAAACAAUUUAUUAAUAAUUUUGAGUUUUUAUUAACAGUUUAAUUAAUUUUGUAACCGUGGUUCUCACAUGUUUAAGAACCAAAAAGAUCAUAUGCAUUAUUUCAUGUAAACCUUGUAUGGGGUGUGAUGUUGACCAAAUUAUUGGUUGAUAACAUAAUGAAAUAUAAGGGUGUGUAUGGGGCGGUUUGGUUCGAUUAUUGGUCAAAACCGAACCAUAACCGUUAUGAUUGUUUAAUGCAUUUUUGUAGCCAUUAGGUAUGGUUAAUAUUAGUUAUGGUUAAUGGUUUUUGUCGGUUAACGGUUUUGGUUAAUGGUUAAUAUUGGUUAACCACAAAUGUUCAAAUUAAUAUAAAUGGAAAAAGUAUAUUAGCAUAAAAAAUGAAAAGAGAAUACAAAAAAUUCUUCGACGCCAAUGUUUAUAACCUAGCUUAUAGUAAUAGAAAAAAUGUGCGCAUUUGAUACUCUGAGUGAGAUAACACAUUGUCACAUACAAAAUAAAAAACAUUCAAUAAAAAAUAUAAAACUUAAAAAAAAUAAAUUGACAUUAGUAAUUUCAUAUAUUGAUAAUUGAUAUUAACAUUAAAAUAAAGCCAAAUGUUCAUACAUGUUCAAUGCGAUUAAAUCAAAAACUAUAAAAUAAAAUAGUCAAACAUUCAUAUUAUGUGUUAUCUGGAUUAAAAAAAAAAUCAAUCACUCAUAUAUAUUCAAUGUGAUUAAGUAAAAAAUCGUAAAUAAAAAAAGCCAAAAAAUACAUUCUUAAUAUAUCACAAAGUCAAAAAUAACCAAAAACUUAACUUACCUAGAAUUUUUUAUUGUAAAGUCAAAAAAUCCUUUGAAUAGGUCUAUAAAGUCUUCGAUUAUGAUUAUGAGUGUGAAGAUUAAACUAAUUGUGAAUAAUGUUUAUAAUUGUAGAAUUAGCCAAUUAGAAAUUACAACAUUAAUCAAUAAUCUAACUCAAUACAUGAUUGGAAGAUUGUAUGUGUUUGCAUGAUCAGCCUUUGAUCGUUUGAUUGCCGGUUCGUCUCAUAAUAAGUGAGGAUUAAUGAAUUAUAUUUUGAAAGUUUAAUGGGUCUUAAUAAGUUUGACUAUAUUAUUUUAUAUAUAAUCUAUCAUUUUUAUAUAUUAAAAUAUAAAGUUAGCGGUUCGGUUGACCUAUAAAACCAUAACCGAAGCGUUAGUUAUUGGUUAACAAAAAUCAAAAACCGAACCAACGGUUUUUAAAAUGGUUUGGUUAUUAUGGUUCGGUUAUAUUCGUUAAUUUGGUUUUGGUUCGGUUUUUUGGUUAAUAUGCUCACCCCUAAUGAAAUAUUUGGUUGUUUAGUUUACAUUGUACUUUGAUGAAAAAAAAAUCACAUACAUAAUGUUCAUUUCUAGCAUCUUACUUUGAUGUAGUUUUUUUUUCAAGGGCAUGAUGUUGUAAAAUUUUUGCACAAAAAAUAAUAAUCACAUACAGGAGUUGCAAAAUUUUUGCACAAAAAAUAAUAAUCAACAUACUAUAUGGAAAAUGUCGGAAAAACACAACCAAUUACCAAAAGAAAACCACUAUAUUAAUUUUAUGCCCCAUAAAAUCCUCCCUUUUGAAACCUCUAAUUGUGUUCUCAAUAAGAUGUCUAUAAUAGGUUGUGCAGGUCUGUUACAAGACAUUUAAUAAUAGGGUUUUUCUGUAUGCAACAAAAUAAUGUUGUGCUUUUCUGUAAUUAUAUAAGAUGGAACAUAUUUAGUGAAGAAGAGACUAGAAAUCACAUCACAUAAUACACCGAAAAAAGAAGCAAGAAUAAGAAAAAAAAACAAUUUCCAGAAUAAUGCUGAAACAACAUCACAUGUCAAAAUCUAAUGAAAAUGAUUUGAAAACGUAUAACAUGCAACAAGACAUUCAUUAAGUCGUCUGCAUUAUUGAGAUUAAACACAAGGGGAAAAGAAAAGAGUAAUGAGAGGGGGAUCAACCAGAUUUAGCCUUGUUUUGCUGGAAGACAACAGCAAAAAUUGGUACUCCAACACCAAUGCUGAAGGCAGUGAAAACACCAAGAGUCAUGGUCAGCUUCUGGUUCUUCAUGCGGUCCAAGUUGUACAUAUGCUUUGAAUGCAAGUACGCUGGCUCAUCAUGACCAUGUGCAUGUCCUCCCAUUCUCUUUGCUCCAGUUGAAUGGAUACCCGCUCUUUGUACUGCAUAAAAAAAUUCCCAUAUUAUCUACUCACUCAAUACAUAGUCAUAUAAUCAUAUCAUGUUUUGUGAAGAAAUUGUUGUAACAAGGAUUAAAAUAUGGUUGAUAAAUAUAAACGAACCAAUAGUUUUGUAAAAUAUUCAACUUUGAAGCACUAACAAGUAACAAACAGAUCCCAUUAUAAAAGCUAUCUAUCUAAAAGAUAAGAAUUUGACUUGUGCAUUUAAAUUUUUCUCAAUUUCCAUAUCCACCUCAGAGGUAGAGUUUAAAGGGGUACUAGUAUGAGAACCAAAAUGUCAUGACUGAUGUCGUUGAUAGAUUCAGAGAGCUGAAAGAUUUUGGAACAAUUAAAAUCUUUUAGACAUCAAUAUGAUGCAAGUUAAUCGUCACAUGAUGAUGUUUUUUGUUUUCAAGUUUAUAAACAAGGUAAGCAUUGCUGGUUUAAAAACAAAAGAAUCACUGAUUCAUUUCUCCAACUUGAACGGUAUGCUGCACAUACCCCAAAACGGCGAAUUUUCACAAGCACUUUUAGAAUAAUUUCUUUCCACAGAAAGCAAACCAAAGUAAUGAACGGUUGAAUACGUCAAAAAAAUCAUGUUAUAAUCAAUAGGAUUCAGCCAGAUCUAUACACAAUACAGUAAGCAUCGUGCACAUAGAUCAGUAGACAAAAUCGCAUUAAAGUGCGAUCCGAAUGAACCAACACCACCGUACGUUUAGUACGCUACGAAAUACAAACAUAUAAAUAUCAAAAAGUCAAAUCAAUCUAGCACAUACCAUAAUUCAAUGUUAUAUCCAGGGGAAAUUAAUACCUAGAACCUUAUAAAUGAGAUUAGGGAAGGGAUUUUUACCAGACUUAGCGAGAGACGACUCGGCAGAGACAAACAGCUUUGAAGCGCAUGAUCUCAAUCCGUUGUUCAACGCCAUAGAUACCGGUUAACGGUGGUAUUGAUGCCGGAAAUAGAGAGAAUAAUGAAAGAAUAGUCCUCAGGUGACUCGAUCAGGAAGCAAAAUUAGGGGUGCGGGGGAUAUAAAGCAUAAACGGAGGAGCAGGGAGACUGACUCGUCGGCAAAUUUGGGCCGUAGUUUAGUGGGCUAACAAAUCUGUACUCGCUUUCCUUUUUCUGGGAUAUGUAACAUGACCAACCCCUGAAGUUCAGCACAAUAGUAGUAAUCACACAAAAGUCUUAAAAAUUACUAAAAUGCCCGGUUUCGAGAAGACCUUGCUCAAAUGCAAACAAAAAUCCUACCAAAAAUGUUGAACAAAGAUCUAUUCAUCCUCUAUCUACCGGGUUUGAAACUGGGGAUAUUGUACUUUUGUAAACUUUUGAGUGCCAUUUUAGUUGUAAAGUUUUUAGUAAAGGACAUAUAAAAUAUAAAUACUAUCUAUUAGAUCAUCCGGUGUACAUUGCACGAAUCGGUCCGUGGUCUACUUGGCCACGAACCACGGCCGUGCACACCACCCCGGUUGUUUGUGGUGGCUCGUGGUCGUGGCCAUCCGUGGCCCGGACAACGAACCCAAACGCCCAAUGAAUUCGUUUCUUUCUUGUAGCCGUUGAUUUGUAUCCGUUUUAGUAGCCGUUGUUAAACGGCUAAAUUUGUAAAAAAAAAAAUAAAUAAAAAAAAAAUAAUUUAUUUACCUAUAAAUACCAUACUUUUACUCCUUAUUUUUUACACCAUUCUUUUCUUUCUCUAUACACAAACUACACACUACAUCUUCACAACCAAAAAUCAUGGAUCCCAACCAAAAUACCCCUCCAAACUACCGAAAUCGCAAACCCGAUAACGCUUUUGCGUUAGACACAACACCUCGACAAUUCCCGACGAUGGAGUCACCUCAAGGCGGUUUUAUCAAUUUACUUCAAAGUGGUUUCCCUAUCCAACAAACACCACUUUUCCAACAACAAUAUCAACCUUUUCCGGCUUUCCAACAACAACAAAUGCAACAACAAUACCAACAAUUUCAACAAUUCCAACAACUACAACAACUACAACAACAAUCGUCACAACAACAACCACCAAGCUCACAACCACCACUUUCGCCGGAUUUUGUUCCGGAAACGCAACCUUCACCACCACCUCAACCAAAAAAGAAAAAAGGAAAAAAACCGGCCCGACCCACUACCAACCAAGAAAGGGUCCCAUGGACAAAAGAAGAAGAAGAAAAGUUAGCGGAGGCAUGGGUGGCGGCUUCCGAAGAUCCAAUUGUAGGAGAUAGCCAGACGUACGGAAGUUUUUGGGAAAAAGUCCGAGCCAUUUUUUACGAGUUAAUGGAAAGUGAAGCUCGAAAUGCCGAUCAAAUUACGUCGAAAUGGCGAGAUAUUCGAUUAAAAUGCACCGAUUUUGGAGGAAUCUACAACAAUCUCCUAAACAUACGCAAAAGCGGCUCGAACGAUUUUGAUGUUUUCAAGGCGGCCAUGGACCAAUAUGAAAAAACAACGCCUACACGCAAAGCUUUUCCGUAUAUGAAGCCGUGGCUAAAAUUGAAAGACUCCCCAAAAUGGAAAGAGCAAACGGAAGGAAGUUCCCAAUCUUCCGGUUCAAAGCGUUCGAGAAACCCCGAUGGAGCUUCUCAACAAUCGGACGGCCGAACACACAUCGACAUCAACGACGAUCCGAUAGAUCUUGAAACCGACCAACCUCUUCCUCGGCCCGUUGGAAGAAAUAAAGCAAAAAAAGCGGCGUCAACAUCUUCGAAUUCUAGUGUUAUGGAUAUGUUCGGCGAUAAAUUUGAUCGAUAUGUGCAGCUUCAGGAAACGAAGGCCGAGGUGAUGACUCGGAUGGAACAAAAAAUGAUCGAAGCACAAACAUCAUUUCAAGAGGCACAAGAGACACUCCAAACAAAAACCGAUAUGGAAAUCUUGAAAAUGAAAGCGGACGACCUUGAGGGCGAAGACUUGGAACUUUUUCUAGCAAUGAAAGAGUCGGUUCGAGCCCGACGUAGGCGUAGGGGGUAGUUUAUUUUAUGUAUGGUUGGAAUUUUUAGUUUUUUAAUGUUUUUUUUUUUUAUUUUUUUUUAAAUUAACUAACUAAUGUAAUUUUUAUUUUGAUUGUUAUUUUUAUUUUAUUUUUUAAUUUCAAUUAAUUUAGUUUUUAUUUAAUGUAAUUUGGUAUUUUAAUUUAAUGGAAAAAUAGUAUUAAAAAAUGUUUUUAAUGUAUUUUUGAAUUAAAUUUAAAUAAAAAAAUGAGGUGGAGUGGUGUUUUAAUGUAUUUUUGAAUUAAAUUUAAAUAAAAAAAUGAGGUGGAGUGGUGUGUUUAGUGGUAAGUACCCCAUGUAUGUGGUAGUGGAAUGUGGUGAUGAUGUGGCACCCACCACAUAUGUGGUAUGUGGUGGGUAUAACGGAUGGCCUAAGUUGAUGAAGGAGAUGGAAAAGGGGAGGNGACCAUCCGUUAUACCUACCACAUACCACAUAUGUGGUGGGUGCCACAUCAGCACCACAUUCCAUUAUCACUAACAUGGGAUACAUCAGACCAUCCGUUAUACCUACCACAUACCACAUAUGUGGUGGGUGCCACAUCAGCACCACAUUCCAUUAUCACUAACAUGGGAUACUUACCACUAACACACCACUCCACAUCAUUUUUUUAUUUUUUUUUAAUUCAAAAAUACAAUAAAAUAACUAUUUUUUUAAUUCAAAAAUACAAUAACAUUACUUUUUUUUUAAUCCAAAAAUUAAAAUAAAAUUACAAUUUUUAAAAGUAAAAAGCAUUUAUUUUUUUAAAACUAUUUUUUCAUUAAUUAUAAAAAUAAAAUAACAAUUUUAAACUACAUUACUUAGUUAAUCUAGAAAACAAACAUUACAUUAAUAAGAAAACGAACAAACAUACAUAUAAAAAUCCUAAUCGUCGUUCAUGCUAUGUUGGUACAAAUGUUCCGCGACAUCUUCUCGAAGAUUGAAACACGUUUCACUGUUAUGGAUUUCGACAACUCGCUCCAAAAAAGCAUUCGUUCCGGGUACGAACUCCUCAAUUGGAACGACAACGUCGUUCGGAUCAUACGUGCAAAUCGCUCGACCUUCAUUUUCAAUAAUCAUAUUAUGCAUUAUAAUACAUGCUAGGACCAUUCGCUUAAUUCUUUCUUUAUCCCAAAGUCGUGUAGCAUAUUUCACUACAUGCCAUGUUUGCUUAAGGACUCCAAAUGCCCUCUCGAUAUCCUUUCUCGCUGAUUCCUGUUUUUUUGUAAACAAUUUUGCUUUUUCACUUCGAGGAACUGAGUAUGCCUUCAUCAAUGUAGAAUAAUCCGGGUAUAUCCCAUCACCAAGGUAGUAACCAUAUUUGUACGCGUGCCCGUUUACCGUGAACGUCAUAUCAGGUGCUUUGUCGGUCCAAAUAUCGUUGAAAAGUGGAGACUGACCAAGAACAUUAAGGUCGUUGUUAGACCCCGCUACUCCAAAAAAGGCAUGCCAUAUCCACAAAUCUUGAGAUGCAACAGCUUCUAGGAUGAUAGUUGGUUCACCUAUAUCUCCUCGAGUGAACUGACCACGCCAUGCAGUUGGACAUUUUUCCCAAGCCACAUGCGUACAAUCUAGACUGCCAAGCAUACCGGGAAAUCCAUGCCUCUCUUCAUGAGCCGAAUAUAAUCUCUCAAUAUCACGUUGAGUAGGUUUACGCAAAUAUUCUUCGUGAAAAACCUCAUAAACACAUGCAGAAAACCAAUCUACACAUUCAACCGCGGUCCUCUCGGAUAUUUUCAAGUAUUCGUCAGAUGCAUCAAAUGCUAUACCGUAUCCCAAAUACCUAAGAGCAGCCGCACAUUUUUGUAUACUACUAAAACCCAUUCUUCCUCUAGCAUCGGGUUUUUGUUUGAAAAAAUCAUAACGAGAUUCUAAAGCAUUACUAAUACGUAAAAAUAUAGCCUUAUUCAGACGAAAACGACGUUCGAACGAGUCGUCAUUAUAAAGACAAUUAUCGGCAAAGUAAUCACGUACCAAUAAGUCGUGUGCGGCUUGGCGAUCACGAUUGACGACCGUCCUUGUACGCGCUGCAUUCGAACUUUCUUCGGCGUGAACGUGUUGCACAACAUUGAAGAAUGUCUCGACGAAUUCUACGUCGUCAUCCGAGUCAAAACUUUUUAAAAAUUCCAUAUUUAUCGAGGGAUCCAUAGGUGUAAUUGAGUGUAGAAUGUAUAUGUAUGUGUAUGUGUUUUGGUAUUGAGUUUUGUAAUUGAGUUUUUAUAGUUGAGUUUGAAAAAAAAAAAAAAGGAAAGGCCACAAAAUAGCCGUUCAACGGCUCAAAAUAUUCGACCAAUAGCAAUCCUCGUUUCAUUUCGUUGUCCCGAGCACAUUUUGCAACGACCACGAACCACCGGGACGGUGUGCACGUCCGUGGUUCGUGGCCAACUAGACCACGGACGUAUUCGUGCUACGUACACCGGUUGGCCUCACUAACAUGGGAUACCUACCACUAACACACCACUCCACCUCAUUAUUUUAAUUAAAUUUAAUUCAAAAAUUCAUAUAGUUGUUUUUUUAAAUACUAUUUUUCAUUAAUUUAAAAUACUAAAUUACAUUAAUUAAAAACUACAUUAACUAAAACGAAAAAAAUUACGUUAAAACUAAAAAUUACAUUAAGUAAAAAAUAAAAAAAAAAACAAUAAAAAAUACAUUAAUAAUUAAAAAGCUAAAAAUACCAAACUUCUAAUUUGUGUUUUUUUAAGCAAGAUUAUUCCAUUUUGAGGAAUUCUUCAAUUUUUGCCAAGCUUUAACAUGUCUAAAACGUUGCUGAUUUGAGUUUUCAUAUUGCUCCAUGGCCAUAUUAACCGGAUCGAUAUCGGCUUCAUGAACGUUGUUUAUAACAAAGUUGUAAAUUCCAUUGAACUCAUAACACUUGACCCUCAUAUCGUGCCACUUCAAGCAUAUUUCAUCAACAUUUCGAAUUGCACCACCCAUUAAACCAUUGAAAACACUUUCAACAUUUCUCCAAAAAGAACCGAAAGUUUCACCAACGUCUUCUUCCGAAACUAUCACCCAAGCUUGUGCUAAUUUCUCUUCUUCUUCUUUUGACCAUUUCUUAUUUUUGGGAGGCAUGAUUUUUAAAGGAUCAAACAACAAAAAUAUAUUUAAAUGGAGUAGAAUUGUAUGAAAAAUAAGAAGAUAUUGGUAGUAUUUAUAGGUAAAUAUUGAAGAAAUUGAAAAAUAGCCGUUAGGAAGGGGGAAGAAAGGUCAAACACGAUUUAAUGCAAGAAAUGAAGCUAUUGGCCAUUUAGAUUCGUUGUCCGGAGCACGGAAGGCCACGACCACGACCCACCACGAACCACCGGGGUGGUGUGCACGGUCGUGGUUCGUGGCCACCUAGAUCACGGACCAUCUCGUGCAAUGUAUACCAUUUGGCCUUACGUUUCCAUCAACGUGUAAAAGUCACCAUUCUCCCUCAAUGGCAUUUCANUGGAUAUUUUGUUGAUAAUACGAGUAGGCACUGCUUACCUAUCCAAAAUUUACGAAACCUAUGACUAGUCCUAAAAGCUCGAUCAUAACGGUUCUUCCAACUGAUCCUAAAACCACAAGUGAAUAAACUUUUGGGUGACAAAUAUGAUGAACUUUUUGAUAGUAAAGUACGUAUAUGAAAAGAGAUAAUGACUUAAAAUGGUAAUAUAUUUUUCGAUUUAUACAUAUUUAGUAACUGAUUUUUUCUUCGUCCACAUUUAUCCCUUUAAUUUGUUAGACUGUAUACAUUUAGUCCUUAUGACCGGCUACUCCAAGUUAGCCAGUAAAAUAACUUAAUAGGGUAAUAUAUUUUUCAUUUUGUACAUAUUUAGUCAUUAAUAUUUUUAUACAUAUUUAGUCCUUAAUAUUUUUUUGUUGCAAAAUAAAUCAUUUUUAUGUUUGUACUUAUCAGUACUUAUGAAUGAUUUCUUUAGGUUUUUCGUACAUCUUACGUGGGAAACCAUAUGGUGGUGGGAUAGGUUGAGUUGGUUCUGCUAUAUGUUGUAGGCCAAGAUACCUGGUGCGGGUCGGCUAUAAGCCGUAGGCAUAGAGGUUUGAGAAGAGCGGUUGGGUUAAGGCGGCACGCCGACAAACCCUGGGUAUUCCAGCCCGAUGACCGAUUGGACCAGUUGCAUGUUGGCAUUCCAAUCCGAUGACUGAUGGGCCAAACUAUUCCAAUAUGAUGAAUUUGGACCCGUUAUGGAUGAUAAUACGUUGGGAAACUCACUAAACUUUGUGCUUACCCAAUUAUUUAUGUUUUCAGGUUCUAUCGUUGAUCGUAGGAAGGCGAAUGCAUGACUGUACACACUCAUCAACAAUAUUGAGGAUUCCACGUUUCUAAUAUUACUUGAUUUUCAAUAAAUGUAUUUUGGAAUAAACAUUUUUUCUUAAUAAUGGAUUUAUAAUUAGGGACUUUUGCUUAUUUAAAAAAGAAAUUUUUGUUUGUGAAAAUGAGACGUUACACAUAAACAUUGUGACAAUCCGAAUUUUCUUCCGUUAAUUUUAACCCCCAUCCGUUAAUAAAAUUUAAUAUUAUUGUAUUUUUCCGUCGACUUCUUGGGUUAAGUAAAUCAACUAAGGUUUUAGUUAUAAUUCUAUAUGAGUCGGAAAACCAAAGAUCGCACGAAAAAGCUUAUUUUCUCAAAAAGCAACGAGUUCACAGCCAAGACGAGUUUACAGCCGUAAACCCGUUUACGGUCGGUGCCAGGUGGUCCCAUCACUGACCAUACCCCUGGCCUAUAAAUACAGGACCCCCACCCUCAUUUGAACCUUCUUGGCCGGAAACACCCACUUUCACUCUCUAAACCUCUUGACCGUAAACACCAAAAAGCUCUUCUUUCACCCGAAAAACACCGGAAAUCGUCAUUUGGGGUCGUUUGGGAACAUCUGGAACACUUUUUCGUCAAAAACAAGCACCCUUAUUCUUAAGUUUACGACCGUAAUCCUUCAGAUCUUCAAAAGUCGCAAACUCAGUUCACGGUCGUAAACCCUGUUUAGGACCGUAAACCCAGUUCUCGGCUGUAAACUCCAUUCGCGACCGUAAACCUUGUUCACAGCCGUAAACCCCAUAUACGGUCGUAAACAGCUCUUUCGUGGGAAAAAGCCUGUUUCCUUGAUUCAACCAAGUCCUGGUAACAUUCCUUAACUGAAACCAAGUGUUUAUCUAACACUUUAUCUAACAAAAUCGCUAAUUUAGAUACGAAUAUGUAUUUGUUGAUAUUAGGAUUCUGUUAAGUGUCAUGUGCGUCGACUCAAGGAUCUUCCAGUUCAAUCCUUUGCAACCAACUAACUGUGAGUUCAUACCCUUACACUUUUAUAAGUUUUUAUAACGUUUUCAGGGGGAAUACAAGCUAAACAUAAAGGUUUGCAUAAGUUAAAAAGUGAUGCAAUUACAACGGUUUUACAUCAAACUUUUAGAUAAUUUAUCCCUUUUGUAAUAUGCGGAGCAUAAGGGAUGCUUUCUAAACAUAAUUGCAUAGUUUUCAGAACAAUACAUGAACAUAACAUACCAGUCAAACUAUAAUAGGUAUAGUUUGGGGAAUUCUUUACCGGUUUUACAGAUUCAAACACAAACUGUGGCUGAUUUAGUUUAUCCAUAUUACAAUCAGAUAACAAGAGUAUCUUACUAAAUAAUUAUUUUGCGUAUAAUUAUUUAUACUCUACACCGUAUACAAACGAUUUCGAACACGAGAACAACAGAACAACACGUAAACUAGUUAAUAUAGGAUUGUGAGACCUUCUUCAUAGUACCCUUCGGGGUAAUGGUAAAUCCUAUACUUUUAGUAUAACCAGAGUCUCUUGGAGGGAGAACGUGAGAAUUAUGAAUAGAUAUAUUCGGGACCGACAAUCCCACACCUGAACUGUUAACUACAGUUAGGCAAACAUGCCUGGGUGACAAAUUUUGUAACAUCUGACGCUUGAAGAAACGUCAUGGAGGUCAUCAGUCAUAUUAGCAUGGUUAUACGAACUCACAAUAGUAUUAACUAACCUUUGUUUACGACAUUUUCUUUCUUCAAUAGUUUUAUUUUAAUUAAUAAGACUACUUACUUACUACACUGGAGGGUAUUCCUGGGAUCCAACCUUUGGUUUUAUUUUAAGUAAUAAAACUACCUUUCAUACUGGCGGAAGCCAGGGUUUUCGAACAGCACAAACAUCACUUACUGGUGGGAGCCAGGGUUUUCGAACGUAACACAUCUUACUUACUGGUGGUAACCAGGGUUUCGAUACAAACGAUAUUUAUUUAUAAUGAAAAGAAAUCAUUUGUACAAAUUUAGUGACUAGUUUCCAAUACAAAAACAUGCUUAUGAACUCCCCAGCUUUAUGUUGAUACGUUUUCAAAACCGCUUGUAUUCUCAGGACAACGAUAGACAGGUACCUUUGCCAGCUUUUGGAGAAGACGGAGCAUUUUGGAGUCUUGUCUUUAUCUUUUACUACUUUUUGAUUUAUACAAGCUAUGUUUUCAAACAGAUAUAAAUAUUCAUAUUAUAAUGUAAUGGUUGUGUUUACUUUGGUUGCUAUGAUACGAUUGUUGUGAUACUACACAUGACGUCACCCGCCCCCGGACGUUUCCGCCAUCUGUUCUGAUGGUUCGGGGUGUGACUGAUUGGUAUCAGAGCCAUUGUUUAUAGUGAACUAAGUAUACCGAACCUUACAUGGUAUACAACUAUAAACACUAAGGGGCUGAAGUGAUCUGAACUAAAAGUAUACUUUUAAAAUAUAAGUAUUUUACUAGAAGUAUACAUGUAUACCUACAUACCAGAAACAAUAUCAUAAGUAGAACAGAAAAAAAGUAUUUGGAUGUUGGGCGCUGCGGUUAAACCUGGGUAGUUAUGUAAUCAUGUCUAGGUUCAAUAUAGUCUGAUCAACUAUAUUCAUUCGAGACAUGACCAACAUAUACUUGGGAGUGAAUGUGGUGUUGCAAUAGGCCUAGAACUUACCAAGUAUUCCUACCACAAGAUAUCGAUACAACAAAACAGAUAACUUAAAAUACUAAUGGAGGAUUUUAGUUAGAACCAAAUACAUUGUAGGGAUUUGUUCCAAGUGUUGCUACUCAUUCUCUCAUAGCGACAUUUUACUUGUAUUAGUAACUUUUCCUUAUUUAUCACUUAGUAGCACACUUUACCUAUCAGAUAGAGAUAUACCUUGUUUCAAAUCUCUUGAUUCAAAAGUCAAAAGGACUUAUCAUCUUCUUCUUCCUGAUAUAGAACAAGAUGCCUCCAAAGAAAAGACCCAACAGAAAGAACAACAAUCCUCCAACAGAUCCAGCUCCAUCACCUCCUCAGUUCGAUCCUGCUAUGUUUCAGGCAGUUGUUACUGCUACAGUGGCUGUCGCAAUGUCACAGAUAAAUUCUAGUGGCUCUAGCGGGUUAGGAAGUGGUGCCCAUUCCCUCAAUCUGGAAGGUGGUCAGGGACAUCUGAAAGAGUGUUCCUACAAGGACCUUAUGAAUGCAAAACUGUUAAGUGUGUCAAACCCAACAAAUAAAGGGGUAAAAAAUGACUCCUUAAACACUACUACUAUGCACUAAUAAUGUAGUACAAGGUAAUUAGGGUCGAUCCACAGAGACACAGGACAAGUGUUUAUACCUUUUUGCGUAAGGUAAAAAAAUGGUCACAGCAUAGGGGGAAUAUAUAAGCAAUGAUUUAAACUAUAGAAUAAAGCAAUAAGUAAAUGAUUGAUUUAAUGAAGUAGAUUCAAGAUUUGUAAGGACUCCAACUCCAUGCAAGACAAAUUAGCAAUGUGAUUCCAAGGAUGAAAUGAUAUUUGUUCAAUUCUAUCUAAAUUGGUACAUGGAAAUGCUAACAAGAUCUAGCACCUCCCAUUCACCACAUUGAUUAACCAAAAUAAGCUCUUUGAUUAAUCCUAACCUUACCAAUCUAAUCUAAACAAGCUCUUAGAAUUAGGUUGAAAGAUUGCAUUAAACUUUAUGUGAAUGUUCCCAACAACACUCAUUACUCCUCAUAAGCUCGGGAGCAUAAGAAUGUGUGAAUAAGAUUUACACUAAAUUCAUUCAAUAGAAAUCAGUUUAGUGCUUGUUACCUUGUCCAAUUUACAAAACAAUUACAGAUUUUUGAAAUUAGAUAACUUGAAUGAUCUAACCCUAAUUCAAAUGGCCAAUAAGAAUCACAAUUAGAAUCAAACAUUCGAUUGAAACAAAAUCAAAUUCACUAGAUACAAAAUUGAAAGAAAACAUCAAGUCAUGUGAUUGAAAUCACAACUAGAAGUCAAGACAUAAAGUUGGAGAAUCUAGGGUUUUAGCCACUCAUGACUAGAACAAGAUCACAAAUCUAGAAAAUGAAAUUAAAGUUCUUACAAAAUGAAAUAAAAUGUUCCCAAGUGUUAAUCAACUUCAAAAUCCUCAAGAAAUUCGCCUUCUCCACCCCAAAAGUCGACCUACUAAGUAAAAAGUCAGUUCCCCCUUUUAAGAAUUGUGAAAAACUGCUUUAAAACCCACGUUUACGUUUACACGGCCCGCGUAAAUUAACACUGUCAUUUACAUGGCCCGCGUAAACACAAAAAUAUACUGCGCAGAAAUCUACGUUUACACGACACACGUGAACACAAGGCUUGCAUUUACACGGACGUGUAAAUAUCUGUAAAGCCAAAAUCUUCAUUUCUUUGAUAUCUUGCUCCUUGAUGCUCCACAAGUCCCGAAACUUCAUCCAAAUCUCUUAUUCAUCACCUCAACUAAGUUCCAACCUCCAAAAGUCCCUGAAAUAUCACAAAAGUAUUUGAAUGAAUGUGCCUCAUGAAAAAUCCCAAAAAACAUGCAAAAUGCAUGAGUUUAAGCCUAUAUGCAAUGUACUUUUAUGAAAUAAAGCUACAAAAUGGGUACAUGAAAUGCACCUAACAAAAACCCAGAUCCUUUGACAGCAAUUGAGUCAUCGUUGCCCUAAAUCGAUGGAUCGAGAAGAUCGAAUCAGUCUUCGAGAUCUGCGCAUGCUCGGAAGCGACCAAGGUGAAGUUUUCUAGUUGCACCUUCAUAGGCAGAGCAUUUACCUAGUGGAAUAGUAGAUUCAAAUCCCUAAACCUGCCAGUAGCAAAUGCUAUGGGUUGGGAGAGCUUGAAGGAGCUCAUGCUUGCUGAGUACUGCCCACGGGGCGAGAUGCAAAAACUGGAGCACGAGCUAUGGAACUUGAAGAUGAAGAGUUCCAACAUUGUUGCCUACACUUCUAGGUUUGAAGACCUAACACUUCUUUGCCCGAUAAUGGUCACCCCGGAAAGCAAGAAGCUAUAGAGAUACAUUUGGGGAUUGACGCCCCAACUCAAGGAAAUGUUUUGGCCGCUAGGCCAACCACUUUCGACAGCACCAAGUACCUGGAACAAACUCUCAUAGAUCACGGAGUUAAUCUUGAUAAAGUGACAGCCGCUCCCGAACCAUCUAAGGAAAGUGGUGAGAAGAGAAAGUUCUAGAAUCAGCGAAAGGGCCAGUCUUCACAGGAGUCCUCUAAGAAAUAACAUACAGUGGCAAUUCACGCUGCUAUUACUCUUGUCGCUGUUCCUGCAACUCAAGCAACCACCAGUGGAUAUACUCGUACCCUCCCUUGGUGCAGCAAGUGAAAUUAUCAUCAUAACCCUGACCCAUCUCGAGAAAUGCUCUGCAACAGCCGUGGCAAGAAGGGGCACACAGCUCGUUUCUGUAAAACUCCAGUCCAACUAAAUAAUUAGGCCUCUGGAGCAGGUGUUGGUCAAGCCUGUUAUGGCUAUGGGGAAGUCGGGCAUUACAGGAGAAACUGCCCCAAUGCAACAACAACUGGCAACACGGGGAGAGUACUGACUAUGCGGCAAGAGGAGGUAGUUGUUGACCCUACCGUUGUUACGGAUACGUUCCUCCUCAACAACUCUUAUGCAUGCAUUCUUUUCGAUUCUGGUGCGGAGAGAAGUUUUGUUAAUUAUGCAUUCAAACACCUUCUCAAACAUAAACCCCAAUCUUUAACUGAAAAAUUUACUGUCGAGAUGGCUAACGGUGAGAAAGAGAGCACUAACGACAUAUUCGUAGCCUGUACCCUUACCCUAAAUGAUCAUUCAUUUCCAAUCGAUCUUAUGCCAGUUUCGAUAAAGAGAUUCGAUGUCAUCAUCGGCAUGGAUUGGUUGAGCCCCAAUCAUGCUGAUAUCCUUUGUUACGAAAAAGCUAUUCAUCUCAAUCUACCCUCUGGUGAAGCCCUCAUGAUAUAUGGUGAUAAACUCAGUUCAAACCUCCGUAUCAUUUCGUGCAUCAAAGCCCAGAAACUUCUGCGAAAGGAGUGUCAUGCAUUCCUAGCCCAUGUUGUUAACGAGAAGCAGGAAGUUAAAGACCUCGAGAGCAUCCCUGAAGUCUGCAACUUUACCGAUUUCUUUCCCGAAGAGCUCCCGGGAAUCCCUCCCGAGCGUUAAGUCGAAUUUUGCAUCGACUUAAUUCCCGGAGCUACCCCUGUAGCUAAAUUCCCUUACCGCCUAGCACCAACAAAAAUGCAAGACUUAUCUAGCCAGCUCAAUGAACUCCUCAACAAAGGAUUCAUCAGACCGAGUUCCUCACCGUAGGGAGCCCCGAUUUUAUUUGUGAAAAAGAAGGAUGGAUCUUUCCAGAUGUGCAUUGACUACUGUGAACUGAACAAGCUCACCGUUAAAAACCGUUACCCUCUUCCUCGAAUCGACGACCUUUUCGAUCAACUUCAAGGAGCCAGCUACUUCUCCAAAAUAGACCUAAGAUCAGGGUACCAUCAGUUGCGAGUCCACGAGAGUGAUGUUCCUAAAACAACAUUUCGGACUCGACAUGGUCGCUACGAAUUCGUAGUAAUGCCCUUUGGUCUAACCAACGCACCGACGAUAUUCAUGGAGCUGAUGAAUCGUGUGUGCCGUUCAUUCCUGGACAAGUUUGUAAUCGUGUUUAUAGACGAUAUACUUGUUUAUUCCAGAAGUGAGGAAGAUCACAUACAACACUUGAGAUUGGUGCUGGAAACUGUAAGGACGGAGAAGCUAUACACUAAAUUCUCCAAGUGCGAAUUAUGGAUUCGAAAAGUAACUUUCUUAGGUCAUGUAGUAAGCGAGGAAGGAAUAUACGUGGACCCCACCAAAAUCAAAGCGAUAGAGAACUGGUCAGCACCGAAGACGCCCAUAGAAAUCUGUCAAUUCUUGGGUCUCGCUGGCUAUUAUCGCAGGUUCAUCCAGAAUUUCUCCAGAAUUGCCAAACCCUUAACCACUCUGACUCAGAAAGGUGUGCCCUUUUGUUGGAGCGAAAUGCAAGACACUGCGUUCCAAACAUUGAAGCAGGCCCUAUGCAGCGCUCCUAUCUUGUCUCUGCCUGAAGGGACGGAUGACUUCGUUGUCUACUGUGAUGCAUCCAACCAGGGCUUAGGCUAUGUGCUCAUGCAAAGAGGAAAAUUUAUUGCUUAUGCCUCAAGACAGCUGAAGGAACACGAAGUCAAUUAUACAACUCAUGACCUGGAGUUGGAAGCAGUGGUCUUCGCAUUGAAGAUAUGGAGACAUUACCUCUACGGAACCAAGUGCACUAUCUUCACUGACCAUAAAAGCCUGCAGCACAUCUUUGACCAGAAGGAAUUGAACAUGAGACAACGACAAUGGGUAGAGCUACUCAACGAUUAUGAGUGUGAAAUACGCUACCAUCCCGGCAUGGCCAAUGUGGUGGCAGAUGCCCUUAGCCGAUAAGAAUGCUUAGGACGUAGAGUGAAGGCAUUAACAAUGAUCAUCCAUUCCCACUUAUCCGCACAAAUAAGAGAGGCUCAACUAGAAGCCCUAAAACCAGAGAACGUGUUGGAUGAAGCCUUGAGAGGAAUGGAGAAAAACUUAGAGGUCAAGGAAGACGGAGCCUAUUAUUUCAUGAACCAGAUUUGGACCCCAAAGUUCGGUGGUUACAGAGAUGUUGUCAUGAACGAAGCUCACAAAACUAGAUAAUCCGUUCACCCAGGUUCGGAUAAGAUGUACCUCGAUCUCAAGAAGCUAUAUUGGUGGCCAAACAUGAAACAGAGACCGCUACCUUCGUAGGCAAGUGUCUGACUUGCACCAAGGUGAAAGUCGAAUAUUAGAAGCCCUUAGGUUUGCUUCAGCAGCCAGAGAUACCUGAGUGGAAGUAGGAAAGGAUUACCAUGGAUUUUAUCACUAAAUUACACAGAUCUCCGAGUGGGUACGAUAUCAUCUAGGUAAUAGUCGACCGAUUGACAAAAUCCGCUCACUUCCUGCCAAUCAAAGAAACUUUCAAAAUGGAGAGACUCACGCGAAUCUACAUCCAAGAGAUAGUCCGAAUGCAUGGCGUGUCGAUAUCCAUUAUCUCCGAUCGAGAUACCAGGUUUACCUCGAGAUUUUGGUAGUCACUGCAGAAGGUUCUUGGAACUAAGUUGGAUACGCUGUCACACCCCCAAACCAAGGAUGGCGGAAACGUCCAGGGGUGGAGGACUUCAUGUGUAGUAUCAUAACAACAAUGGUAAUAGUGAUGAAAGUAAACGCAACCAACACAUAUAUAUAAUUGAAAGAGUUACAUCAUUGUAUGAAUUACAUGUUUCAAAAUCAAUUACAAUAUGUUGACAAAAUAUGAUAAGUUUGACGCCACAACGUCCCAUCCUCAAAAGUACUUUGUUACCUGUUUAGUGAUUUCCUGAGAAUACAAGUAGUUUUAAAAAAAAACGUCAACACAAUGGUUGGUGAGUUCAUAAGUUUUUGUAUAUAAUUAUGAAAAAAGCUUGUCAUGUAAUUGUAUAGUUGUUCCAGAAAAAUCCGAUAUUUUCCUUAAAAUGAAUAAUGUAGUCUUGUAUCCAAAGACUGAAAUAUAUGAGUAAUCUUUCUUAUUUACAGAAAAUAAUGUGUGUUUAUUUCAACACAAACGCGUAUGAUAUCAAUGAAACUCUCGUAUAUUGUUAAGUUUGUUAAUACUUUCUGUGAGCUAUUAUAACCAUACUAUGACCUAGGUGGCCUGAAUACGACGUUCUUCGGGCGUCGUAGAACUGAAAUGACACUUGUCACCCGUAGACCUGCAGGUCCAACUGUAGCUAGCAGCAAGGUGUGGGGUGUCAAACCCAAUAUAGAUCUAUAUACAACUAUCACGCUCUCCUUCCAGGAGACUCUGGUUACAAUACAGGACUUAUGAUUUAUGUGAAGAGGAUGUCUCACAAAGUUAUUAACGAAUUUACACUUAAUCAUAAUGAAAGUUUCCUUUUUGUAAUGUAUGCAUUU
rnacentral:lncRNA from 1 species